GUGUCAGCCGCCGCGGUAAUACGUAGGGGGCGAGCGUUGUCCGAAGUUACUGGGCGUAAAGCGCGCGUAGGCGGCUUCUUAAGUCUGAGGUGAAAGGUUCAACGCUUAACGUGAACAGUGCCUUGGAUACUGGGGAGCUUGAGUGUGGCAGAGGAUAGUGGAAUUCCUGGUGUAGCGGUGAAAUGCGUAGAUAUCAGGAGGAACACCCAUGGCGAAGGCAGCUAUCUGGGCUAACACUGACGCUGAGGUGCGAAAGCGUGGGGAGCGAACGGGAUUAGAUACCCCGGUAGUCC
rnacentral:rRNA from 1 species